GCACUGCAGAACCCAAUCCAAUCCAUCGAGCUCCCGAAGUCGAGUCCCAUCCCAGUUCCCACUUCUCACCCACCCACACGCAGCGAGGAACCAGUCGAGGAGGAGGAAGGAGAAGGAGGAGCCAUGGCCGAGCUGCUGUUUGCCCCCGCCGUGGCCGGCCUCGUCCACCUGCCGGAGGUGCUCGAGCGCCUCGCCGCCGCGGACGCCGACCACCGCGACCACGCCCACCACCACGCCGCGCACGGGCACGGGCACGGGCACGGCCACCCACGCGCGCAGAUUGGGGGCGUGGGCGGCGGCGCGCCCGUGGACAUCGUGGAGACCCCC
rnacentral:lncRNA from 1 species